CAGUCGCCCGGUAAUACGUAGGUGGCAGGCGUUGUCCGGAAUUAUUGGGCGUAAGGGGCUCGCAGGCGGUUUCUUAAGUCUGAUGUGAAAGCCCCCGGCUCAACCGGGGAGGGUCAUUGGAAACUGGGAAACUUGAGUGCAGAAGAGGAGAGUGGAAUUCCACGUGUAGCGGUGAAAUGCGUAGAGAUGUGGAGGAACACCAGUGGCGAAGGCGACUCUCUGGUCUGUAACUGACGCUGAGGAGCGAAAGCGUGGGGAGCGAACAGGAUUAGAUACCCGCGUAGUCCCUGUCUCUUAUACA
rnacentral:rRNA from 1 species